rnacentral:autocatalytically_spliced_intron from 1 species
GAGAGCCGAAUGCGCUAAAAGGUACAUGUCCGGUUCGGAAAGGCUGGAAAAUAGUCCGGCUACGCGCUGCCUAUUAC